GAUGAACGCUAGCGGCAGGCCUAAUACAAGCAAGUCGAACGGUGUCUUCGGACAUAGUGGCGCACGGGUGCGUAACACGUAUGCAACCUACCUUACAUUGGGGGAUAGCCUUUCGAAAGGGAGAUUAAUACCGCAUAAGACAGUAGCUGGGCAUCCAGCAGCUGUUAAAGAUUUAUCGAUGUAAGCUGGGCAUGCGUCCAAUUAGCUAGUUGGUGAGGUAACGGCUCACCAAGGCAAUGAUUGGUAGGGGAACUGAGAGGUCAAUCCCCCACACUGGCACUGAGAUACGGGCCAGACUCCUACGGGAGGCAGCAGUAGGGAAUAUUGGGCAAUGGACGCAAGUCUGACCCAGCCAUGCCGCGUGCAGGAUGAAGGCGUUAUGCGUUGUAAACUGCUUUUAUACAGGAGGAAACGACUCUUGCGAGAGGCAUUGACGGUACUGUAUGAAUAAGCACCGGCUAACUCCGUGCCAGCAGCCGCGGUAAUAC
rnacentral:rRNA from 1 species